CCCGCCUUAGCUCAGUUGGCAGAGCGUGGGACUGUAAAGGUUACCUACGUAAUCCCGAGGCCGCCCGUUCGAUCCGGGCAGGCGGGA